UCCGAGUUGACCCCGGCAGUCUCCUAUGAGUCCCCGGCUUAAACCGCUGGCAACAUAGGACAAGGGUUGCGCUCGUUGCGGGACUUAACCCAACAUCUCACGACACGAGCUGACGACAGCCAUGCAGCAUCUGUGGUGCACCCUCGAAGGUCACACGUUUCCGUGCGCUCGCAGCACCAUGUCAAGCCCAGGUAAGGUUCUUCGCGUUGCAUCGAAUUAAAGAACAUGCUCCGCUGCUUGUGCGGGCCCCCGUCAAUUCUUUUGAGUUUUAGCCUUGCGGCCGUACUCCCCAGGCGGGGUGCUUAAUGCGUUAGCUUCGGCACGGGCGGGGUCGAUAUCCGCCCACACCUAGCACCCAACGUUUACGGCUAGGACUAC
rnacentral:misc_RNA from 1 species